UACGUAGGUGGCAAGCGUUAUCCGGAAUUAUUGGGCGUAAAGCGCGCGCAGGCGGUUUCUUAAGUCUGAUGUGAAAGCCCACGGCUCAACCGUGGAGGGUCAUUGGAAACUGGGGAACUUGAGUACAGAAGAGAAAAGCGGAAUUCCACGUGUAGCGGUGAAAUGCGUAGAGAUGUGGAGGAACACCAGUGGCGAAGGCGGCUUUUUGGUCUGUAACUGACGCUGAGGCGCGAAAGCAUGGGGAGCGAACAGG
rnacentral:rRNA from 1 species